rnacentral:rRNA from 1 species
AUGAAAAAGUUCAUCAAGUCUCAAGUACAGUCCUGCUUGGUGUGUCAGCAAGCUAAGCCAAAGAGAGUUCAGUACCCUGGAUUGUUAUCUCCUCUGCCAGUACCUACUAAAGCUUGGGACACAGUGUCCAUGGAUUUUAUAUCAGGUCUUCCGACAUCCUUCCAAUAUGAUUGCAUACUGGUGGUGAUUGACAAGUUCUCUAAAUAUGGCCAUUUCAUUCCUCUCUCACACCCCUUCACAGCUCAGGAAGUGGCUGAAGUUUUCAUAGAUAAUGUGUAUAAGUUGCAUGGUAUGCCCAGGUUGAUAAUCUAUGAUAGGGACCCCAUUUUCACUAGCUCCUUCUGGCAACUGCUUAUAUCAAGAACUGGAGCGGAACUAAAUAUGAGUACAGCAUAUCACCCAGAGACUGAUGGGCAGACUGAAAGAGUAAAUCAACAAAUUGAGUGCUUCUUGAGGUGUUUCAUGAUUCAUCAGUGCUCAUCCUACUAA